AGGGUUUGAUUCUGGCUCAGAUUGAACGCUGGCGGAAUGCUUUACACAUGCAAGUCGAACGGCAGCACGGGGCAACCUGGUGGCGAGUGGCGAACGGGUGAGUAAUACAUCGGAACGUGCCCAAUCGUGGGGGAUAACGUAGCGAAAGUUACGCUAAUACCGCAUACGAUCUAAGGAUGAAAGCGGGGGAUCGCAAGACCUCGCGCGAAUGGAGCGGCCGAUGUCAGAUUAGGUAGUUGGUGGGGUAAAGGCUCACCAAGCCGACGAUCUGUAGC
rnacentral:rRNA from 1 species